rnacentral:rRNA from 1 species
UACAGAGGUCUCAAGCGUUGUUCGGAUUCAUUGGGCGUAAAGGGUGCGUAGGUGGCGCCGUAAGUCAGGUGUGAAAUUUCGGAGCUUAACUCCGAAACUGCAUUUGAUACUGCGGUGCUUGAGGACUGGAGAGGAGACUGGAAUUUACGGUGUAGCGGUGAAAUGCGUAGAUAUCGUAAGGAAGACCAGGUGGCGAAGGCGGGUCUCUGGGACGGUACU